CAAGAUACCUGGAAAGGUUUUUGAUUAAAAUCUAUAUGGCCUUUGGAUUGGACUGCGACCGAUUAGGCUGUUGGUGAGGUAAUGGCCCACCAAACCUGUAACCGGUACGGGCUCUGAGAGGAGGAGCCCGGAGAUGGGUACUGAGACAAGGACCCAGGCCCUAUGGGGCGCAGCAGGCGCGAAACCUCUGCAAUAGGCGAAAGCCUGACAGGGUUAUUCUGAGUGACUUUCGCUAAGAAAGUCUUUUGACACCUCUAAAAAUGGUGUAGAAUAAGGGGUGGGCAAGUCUGGUGUCAGCCGCCGCGGUAAUACCAGCACCCCGAGUGGUCGGGACGAUUAUUGGGCCUAAAGCAUCCGUAGCCGGUUUUACAAGUCCUCCGUUAAAUCCAACUGCUUAAUAGAUGGGCCGCGGAGGAUACUAUAAGACUAGGAGGCAGGAGAGGCAAGCGGUACUCAGUGGGUAGGGGUAAAAUCCGUUGAUCCAUUGAAGACCACCAGUGGCGAAGGCGGCUUGCCAGAAUGCGCUCGACGGUGAGGGAUGAAAGCUGGGGGAGCAAACCGGAUUAGAUACCCGGGUAGUCCCAGCUGUAAACGAUGCAGACUCGGUGAUGGACUAGCUUCAUGCUAGUCCAGUGCCGCAGGGAAGCCGUUAAGUCUGCCGCCUGGGUAGUACGGUCGCAAGACUGAAACUUAA
rnacentral:rRNA from 1 species